GGUGUUUAACAUGAUUAUUAAUGACAUCCUCAUCUCUGUACCCCACACGUACAAUUAUCUGUAAGGUCCCUCAUCUCUGUACCCCACACAUACAUAAUUAUCUGUAAGGUCCCUCAUCUCUGUACCCCACACGUACAAUUAUCUGUAAGGUCCCUCAUCUCUGUACCCCACACAUACAAUUAUCUGUAAGGUCCCUCAUCUCUGUACCCCACACGUACAAUUAUCUGUAAGGUCCCUCAUCUCUGUACCCCACACAUACAAUUAUCUGUAAGGUCCCUCAGUAGAGCAGGGAAUU